AUGUGGAGAAGGGCUGUGUGUUUGAUUGCAAGAAGACCCUUUUCAUCAGAACCAGAAAUUCCAACCCUUUAUUCGUUUCUGCAGCCUUCAGUUUUUUCACUAAAGAGAUCAAACAAAGAACCCUUAAACCCCUUACCAAAACCUCAAGAGUCCACUUCAAAAGGGCUAUCCCAAGAUCACAUUACCACUCUUGAGUCCACUCUUCAGUCCUCCCUCAUCAGCCAAAACAUAGAUGAAGCAUGGAAAUCUUUCAAAACCCUCACCAAUUCCUCUUCUUUUCCCAGUAAAUCCCUUACGAAUUCACUAAUUAGCCACUUGUCUUCAUUAAAUGAUACUCACAAUCUUAAAAGAGCAUUUGCAACAGUUGUCUAUUUGAUAGAAAAGAAUCCAGAAUUGUUAGAAUAUGAAUCUGUAAUGACCGUUUUGAAUUCUAUGAAGAAUGGCAAUACUGCUGCCCCUGUUAUUGCAUUGGUUAAGUGUAUGUUCAAGAACAGAUUUUUCCUGCCUUUUAAGUUGUGGGGUGGUGUUCUGGUCCAUAUUAGUAGGAAAAGCGGUAGCUUUGUCGCGUAUUUGAGCAUUUUUAACGAGACUUGUAGGAUUGCUAUUGAUGAGAAGUUAGACUUCUUGAAGCCUGAUUUGAUAGCUUGUAAUGCUGCAUUGGAGGGGUGUUGCUGUGAGAUUGAAUCUGUUACUGAGGCUGAUAGAGUUGUAGAGAUGAUGUCUGUAUUGGGUAUUAGGCCCGAUGAGUUUAGCUUCAGUUACCUUGGGUAUUUGUAUGCCUUGAAGGGGCUUGAGGGCAAAAUUUCUGAGUUAGAAGCUUUGAUUGGAAAAUUUGGCCUUUCUAGCAAAAAUGUUUUUCUUAGUAAAUUGGUUAGUGGAUAUUUGAAGUCAGGUAACUUGGAUUUUGUUUCGGCAACUAUUCUGCGUAGUGUCAAAGAAGGGAAUGAACAAGGUGCAUGCUUUACUGAAGAAACUUAUGGUGAAGUUGUUAAAGGAUAUCUUGAAAAGGGGAGCACAAAAGUUUUGGCAAACCUGAUUGUUGAAGCUCAGAAGUUGGAACCUUCAUCUGUUAUAGUUGAGAGAACUAUUGGAUUUGGUAUUAUCAAUGCUUGCGUUAGCAAUGGUUUGUUAGAUAAGGCACAUAGCAUUGUUGAUGAAAUGAAUGCACAAGGAGCUAGUGUUGGGUUGGGGGUUUAUGCGUCAAUCUUAAAAGCUUAUUGCAGAGAGCAACGAACGGCUGAAGCUGCUCAAUUGGUUGCAGAGAUAAGUAAUUCCGGACUCCAGUUGGAUGUUGAUAGUUAUGAUGCUCUAAUAGAGGCAUCCAUGUCUUGUCAAGACUUUCAAUCAGCUUUUUCUUUGUUUAGGGACAUGAGAGAAGCAAGAAUACCUGACCUGAAAGCGAGCUAUCUGACUAUAAUGACAGGUUUAACUGAAAGCCAUCGACCUGAACUGAUGGCAGCAUUCUUGGAUGAGGUUGUCGGGGACCCUCGAAUUGAAAUUGGUACCCACGAUUGGAAUUCAAUUAUCCAUGCUUUCUGUAAGGCUGGGAGACUGGAAGAUGCCAGGAGGACUUUGAGGAGGAUGAUUUUCCUUCAAUUCGAGCCAAAUGAACAGACUUAUCUUUCCCUAAUUAAUGGGUAUGUGGCAGCAGAGAAGUAUUUUAGCGUUUUGAUGUUAUGGAAUGAGGUGAAGAGAAAGGUUUCGAUUGAAGGGGAGAAGAAAAUCAAGCUAGACAAUAACUUGGUUGACGCUUUCCUAUAUGCUUUGGUUAAAGGGGGUUUCUUUGACGCUGUGAUGCAAGUUGUGGAGAAAUCUCAAGCAAUGAAGAUAUUUGUUGAUAAAUGGAGGUACAAACAAGCAUUCAUGGAGACACACAAGAAGCUCAGAGUUUCAAAGUUGAGGAGGAGGAACUUCAGGAAAAUGGAAGCACUGAUCGCAUUCAAGAACUGGGCUGGUCUAAAUGCAUGAUGAAUCUUUUUAAUUAUUUUCUGCAGAAAUGCCCAGUGCUCCUGCUUGUAGGAUUACUUCAACAAGCAGGUCUUGAUGUUUCAUUUAGCAAAGCUAAACUGAUGCUGGUUCUUGUUACGCUUGAAGUUAAGGUAUUCUUGAAAGCCUCAGAUCUUUCCAUAUUGUAUAGUGCGUAAUAUCUGAAGCACUCACAAAGGCAAAAAUAUAUCCAGUUUUCUUGACCGAGAUGAUAUUCCAGCUGCAAGGCCUGCUGCUAUUCAUAGGAAAAGGGCAACAAGGGGAGGAAGGCUGAGGAAAAUUUAAAGACUUAUCUGCUUCAUUGGAAUAAGUUAGUGUUACAUGAGUUUCAUCAUUUUUUAUUCUCUUGAUUUCCCAAUUAGCAGCUUCAGUUCUGCAUGUUGCUGCUAUUUCCUUUGCUAGGGAUACAGAGAACAUGUAACACUUGGAUAUACGGAAUGCAAGUACAAGAACUCAGGAAGCUUUAUAUUGGAUCGCGAGAGCCCAUUCAGCAUAACAACAGACAAUGUAUUUGUUCUGCUUGGAUGCUCCACAACAUCUCCAGUGUUUGAUAAAAGACAAGAUCUAUGCGAUACAGGUUCAGGCUCAAAUAUAUGCAGAGGCUUGUAUUCUUGCAAUGCAAUUACUGGGAUUGGGUUGGUACCAAGUGCACCAAUAUCCACCUGUUGUGUUUAUGAACCUCCAAUUCCUCUCGGUUCAGGUUAUGGUUUGGAUCUUCCUAAGCUCCAAUGCUCAUCAUAUUCAUCAGUUAUUGGUUUUGGAGGGGACGAAGGAAAUCCAAUGAAAUGGCAGUAUGGGAUUCCAUUGCAAUUCAAUGGCUCAUAUUAUACAGAAUCGUGCAAAAACUGCGAGGAUAGUGGAGGGUCCUGUGGUUUUUCUGGUUUCAACCAGUCAUUUGCCUGUAUUUGCAAGAAUGGAAUGAAUACCACCAUCAAUUGCUACGGACGAGGAUAUGCUUGGAGUGGGACAUGGAGACGCAGAAUUCAAACGAAAUUAUGUCUCGGAGGAUUUCUGAUCGUGUGGAUGACACUUUUCAUUUGAAGAAGCAAUUCUUUAUUUUGGUUUUCCAGCUGUGGGUGGAAGAGUUCCGGAAUUGCCUGAGAGAUUGUCGCUUUGGAAACAUCUUCUUCUAGUGCUAUAUUGUCUAUUUCUUUCUUUCUUUCCUUUUGGCAGAUGUAAAAUGACAGAGGGAUUUCCACAAAAGUUGCUCUACAGUUUCUUUAUCCAAUACCCGAUGUGCAUGGUGUGUGCCAAUGUUCUAUUCGACUGCACAAGAAGUUUAGGAACAUGGAUUUAGUCCAUAACCAUUGUGAUUAAGAUGAAGAUGGAAGGUGAAAUGUGAGCAGAUUAUACAUAAGACUGCCAAAUUAGGCUGCAGUUAUCAAACCAGUGACACAGUUACCAACGGGUUAACUAUACAAUUGUCAUUUGUCAA